rnacentral:rRNA from 1 species
GACGAACGCUGGCGGCGUGCUUAACACAUGCAAGUCGAACGGAAAGGCCCUGCUUUUGUGGGGUGCUCGAGUGGCGAACGGGUGAGUAACACGUGAGUAACCUGCCCUUGACUUUGGGAUAACUUCAGGAAACUGGGGCUAAUACCGGAUAGGAGCUCCUGCUGCAUGGUGGGGGUUGGAAAGUUUCGGCGGUUGGGGAUGGACUCGCGGCUUAUCAGCUUGUUGGUGGGGUAGUGGCUUACCAAGGCUUUGACGGGUAGCCGGCCUGAGAGGGUGACCGGCCACAUGGGGACUGAGAUACGGCGCAGACUCCUACGGGAGGCAGCAGUGGGGAAUAUUGCACAAUGGGCGGAAGCCUGAUGCAGCAACGCCGCGUGCGGGAUGACGGCCUUCGGGGUGUAAACCGCUUUCGCCUGUGACGAAGCGUGAGUGACGGUAAUGGGUAAAGAAGCACCGGCUAACUACGUG